rnacentral:rRNA from 1 species
AUGAUGCCACGGCGGCACCGCCCCGCUGUGGCUCGCACUUACACCCCCAUGCGGAAAUUGCCAAAUCGGCCAGAGCGAGGGGCGUGGCAUCGUCGGACUGCCUGCUCCAAGCAACCUUCCACCCCCAUGGAGGGCCAAAAACCUAGGAAAAAUAGCCAAAUCGGCCAGAGCGAGGGGCGUGGCAACCAUCGGGCCGCCCGAUCCAAGCAAGCGACGGCCGAGAGCUCCCCAGGGUGCUGCGUGCACUGCCCCGCGGCGGCGGCGGCUCCGGCUCGGACGCAAGGCCGCCCAAAAGCGGAGCAGGAUCGCCCCCGACGCGUCCGUGGGCAAAAUUGGCAGGCCGCGCCCGCGCCGAAGUGGCCCAAACCCCCCCAUAAAUCGCCCGCCGAUUCCAAACACCGCUCCACUCCACCGCCCCCUCGCAAGGCCGAGCCACAGAGAGCCGCACCGAAAUCGCGUCCCGUCGUGCAAAGGGAGCGGGGGGUUGGGAGCGGGACAAAUCUCCCUCGUCACCACCUCCACCACCACCGUCCACCGCCACCCCCCUCUCGCCCCCUCAAGCCUUGCCCCUCGCGCGGGAGGGACGCCGUGUCCUCCUGCCCCCACCGCGCCGCGAGGGGAAACCCUAGCGGCUGCAGAUCUCCGGGCAGGCGCCCCGAUCCGGGCGGCCCGCGCCCCGAUUCGGCCCUCCCGGCGCCUCAAAUGGCGGCGGACGGGGCGGACAGCGACCUUGAGGAGCAACUCAAGGAUGUCGGCGCCCGCCUGCAGGAGGCGCCCGACGACUCCGACGGCCUGCUCAAGCUCCUCUACGACGUCGAGAAAUAUCUGUUGAGAGUGGAGCAAUCACCUGCAGCAAGCACAUUUGCUGCUGUUCGCCCAGCAAUGGAUGCCCUGAUCAAGAAUGAACUUUUGACUCACCCUAACGCCGAGGUCAAACUUGCUAUAGCAUCUUGUAUAUCUGAGGUUACAAGAAUCACUGCACCCGAGGCUCCGUAUGAUGACAAUAUUAUGAGGGAUUUGUUUUCCAUAAUUGUGGGGACUUUUCAGAAUUUAGAUGAUAUCGAGAGCCCGUCCUUUGCGAGGAGGAUUUCAAUUCUUGAGACUGUGGCAAAGGUCCGGUCGUGCGUGGUCAUGUUAGACCUUGAGUUGGAUGAUCUGAUUCUGCAGAUGUUUAACCAUUUUUUCACAACUGUGACAUCAAACCAACCAGAAAUUGUCAUAUCAUCUAUGGUAACAACAAUGAAACUUGUAAUAGAUGAGAGUGAAGAAAUACAGACAGCGCUUGCAUCGUAUCUUCUUCAAAAGGCUAGAAAUGAGGAGAGGGAAACUUCUCCAGCAUCUUUUGAACUUGCAGAGAAGGUGAUCAGCUCAUGUGAAGAUGGGAAGCUAAAACCAAUAUUCCUGCAGUUACUUCAAGUUCAAGGCAAUCCCUUGGAUGAAUACAGCAAAAUUGUCACGCUGGUUUGUGAAGGUGAUAAGGUUGUCAGGGAAGACAACAAUGUUGAUCCUUCUGGGAAGGACACGGUGGAUGAUGGCAAACUUUCGGAAAGGACUAUUUCUGAUGAACUGCCUCAGGAAUCUUCAAAACUGGAGCAAGAUGGUACUCCGACUACUGCUAUUAGUAGUGGUGCAACUCUGGUUGAUAAUGGUGAGGCUAAUCAAGGACUAGCGUCUCCAAAAGGACCAGCGUCUCCAAAGGGAUCAGCGUCUCCAAAGAGACCAGUGUCUCCAAAGGGACCAGUGUCUCCAAAAGGACCAGCGUCACCAAAAGGACCAGCGUCACCAAAAGAGAAGCCUGAACAGCCUGAAGACACAAAAGAUGCUGAUCAGUUGAAAUCUGCUAAUGAAGGUGUAGAACCUGUUGAUGCAAAGCCCAAGAAGCCAUCUGAUCUUGAUUCAGACAAAGACCUGAAGCUCAAACCCUGCAAGUCUGUGGCUACUCCACACUCUAAUGUUGAUGUUGACAAAGAGGCUCAUGUAGUAUCUGGAGAGUUAUCUGCAGACAAGAAGGUAGUAAAUGGAGUGGCUGAUAAUGUACCAAAGCGUGCUGAUACCACACCCGAUGUAGUUAAGCCAAAACGAGGCCGACCUCCUGGACCAAAGUCAUCAGAGAAAAAGGCUGCUAGAAAUAACCAAUCUUCAGAUUUAGAUUUGAAGAAGACUGAGGAGGCUAUGGAUUCAACUGGGAAGUUAAUAAAGCGAUCAGCUAAGGAUGAUAUCAAAGCUUCCACAAAAAAGACUGGUGAAGGAGAAUCAUCAAAGAAGCAGCAAAAACCCAGUUUGAAACAGCACAAGGAAGAAAUCCUCUCUGAGGAGGACACCACCAAGGAUAUGACUCUAAAGGAAAUGGUCUCUCCAAAGUCUCUGACCAAGGGGUCAGGUAGAACCAAGGGUCAAAGUGGGGAGAAUAAUGUGGUGAAGAGGAAGCGUGAACAAGAUACUGAAGAGACUCCUCGCUCAAGGAAGGACAAAGGUCUGGAUGGAAGUCUAGUUGGUGCAAGGAUCAAAGUAUGGUGGCCAGACGAUGAGAUGUUUUACAAGGGUGUUGUUGAUUCAUUUGAUACCCAUUCCAAAAGGCACAAGGUUGCAUAUGAUGAUGGAGAUGUAGAGGUACUGCUGCUUAGGGAUGAAAAAUGGGAUUUCAUCAGUGAGGAAGAAGGCAAAACUCCUGAUGUACCAUCUGAGAUACGCCGUGGCAGAAAAGGGAGAGGAAUCACGCUGCUACCAGUGAAGGAAGAAAAAAUAGAAACACCUAAAAGUGACGGAGUGGAGCUUCCAAAGAAAAGAGGCCGUCCGAAAGGUUGGCGCCCCAACAAUGGUGGUACACCGUCUACAACUCCAAGCAAAUCGAAGGGGAAAACUGCUGUCAAGGAUGCCAAGGGGACACCUAAAACUGCCGUUGAGAUUAAGAAAGAAGGCAAGGAGAAAGCCACUGGAUCAGCUAACAAGACGAAGGAUGAUUUAGCUAAAGACAGCAGCAACCAGAAGCUGAAGGAGGUUGGGAGCAAAUCUGGCGAUGGAUCUGUGAAGGGUAGGCCUGGGCGGAAACCAAAAAGCGCUGCCACUACUACUCCAGUGGCGGGUAGUGGAUCUGGAUCUGUUCAAGAGAAGCGGAAGGAUAAGGAGGAGAAAGAAGAGGCUGAGGCAUCUGAAAUGGAGCAGGAGGCAUCUGGCAAGGGGGCGUCUUCAACUGGAAAGAAGCGCAGAAGGAAGGCUUAG